rnacentral:rRNA from 1 species
UACGGGGGGGCAAGCGUUGUUCGGAAUUACUGGGCGUAAAGGGCUCGUAGGUGGCCAACUAAGUCAGACGUGAAAUCCCUCGGCUUAACCGGGGAACUGCGUCUGAUACUGGAUGGCUUGAGGUUGGGGAGAGGGAUGCGGAAUUCCAGGUGUAGCGGUGAAAUGCGUAGAUAUCUGGAGGAACACCGGUGGCGAAGGCGGCAUCCUGGACCAAUUCUGACGCUGAGGAGCGAAAGCCAGGGGAGCAAACGGG